GCCACGUAACGAUGAAGGCAGAGAUUAGAGUUACACAGCUGCAAACCAGCAAACUCCUGGGACCACCAGAAGCUGGAAGAGAUGACAAAGGAUUCUCCCCUAGACCCUCCAGGGGAGCAUGCUCCUGUCACCACCUUCAUGUUGGACUACUCAUCUCCAAAACUAUGGCAGAAUCAACGCCAGUUGCUUUAAGCCACUCAGUUUGUGGUAAUCUGUUACAGCAGCCUUAGAAAACCAAGACAUACCUUUAUCAUAAAAAGUGGGGAAACAUUCUUCCCUCGCCACUGUUUUGUGCAACACACAAGUGAUAGAAAAGGAAAGAGAUGAAGCCCACAAGGAGGACAAUGAAACGAAGUGAUUUGCCCAGUAUCCCACAUGCAGUGAGUAAUAAAUAACCCCAGGAUUCUAAGCCAGGUCAUUCAUUUGUUCUCCAUUUACAAAUACCCUCUUUCAUUGAUUCUAGGAUGCACUUUUUAUUUACAUUUUAACAUCUCAAAAACCAGUAUGAUGUGUUUAGUGGUUACUGUUUGUGCUUCUUAAGAGUAAAAAAUAUAAAAUUAUGUUUCUUAACAGCAGUGCUAUCUUAGAUUAGGUAGAGUACUGUAUUUAAUGAGGGUUUACCAUACUCCAGGAGCUGUGCUGGGCACUAGAAAUAAAGCUGUGAUUGGCACAGUCUUCUUUCCCACUCCUGUCGAGUUUCCAGUGUUUCCCCUGCAUCAUUAUACCAACCAGACCUAGCCUGUUGUAAAUUGCUUUCUAUUGUGUCCCAUGUGUUGGAAACAAUAGUCUUAACAAGAUUACAAGCCCAUUGCAGCACUGCAUCUAGCCGAAUUGCCUUCCCUGUAUGUAACCCGUGAUAACUUUCCUGUGUAUUUUUUUUUCUAUUUUAUUAUUAUUAUACUUUAAGUUUUAGGGUACAUGUGCACAAUGUGCAGGUUAGUUACAUAUGUAUACCUGUGCCAUGCUGGUGUGCGACACCCAUUAACUCGUC
rnacentral:lncRNA from 1 species